rnacentral:lncRNA from 1 species
UCUGUUAGGCGCGGACGACGGCCAUCCCAAGGCCCCUGCACGAGCUAUGGCCAAUAAGGCCGUUUUGGUCAGUGCCCAUUUCGCCAACUUGCUACUUUACUUGAGCAGUGAUUUUUGUUCAAGCAUUUUGGUGGCUUUACUUUAUUUGACUAUUCCUGGAAAAUAGGUUGCCAUGUCCAAACUUUACAUUUUGUGUGAUGAGCCUCAUAAUUGCUUUAAUGUUUGCUCCUAAUUAUUGUUGAUCAUAUGCAGACAGCUUUUCACUUGUUCCUGGGAAAAUAUUAUUAUUCUACCUGGUUUUUGUCCAAUGUACACUUUAGAAUUCCUUUUUUGAACCAUAUCUAUUUUCGCUGCACUCGAUUAGGCAAGCCGUUCUCCGGUGUUCAGAGCCAUCCUUGGGAAUGAGACAAAAGAAAUCCAUAUCUACGAAUUGUGGCCACCCCAAAAUUUUUUUUGCUUUUGUCGACUAUCUCUACACGGCCGAGAUAUGCCUUGACCAGCAAUCGGCCCGUACACUCCUUGUAGUGGCUGAAAAGUAGCAGGUGCAUCAUCUCAGAGACUUGUGCCAGAAGUUCUUUGUGUCCAACCUCAACUGGGACAAUUCACUUGCGACCUACACCUUCGGCCACCAUCAUAACGACAAGCAGAUCAUCGACGCAGCCUUGACGUUGAUCACAAACAACAUCGAAAAGCUUGCUUCAAGCGUUAAGUACGCGGAGCUAAAGAAAAGUCAUCCGCAACUUGUAAUCGAAAUCUAUG